AAGAUACACAAUGUAAAUUACGGUCAAGUGUCUUUAAAAAAAGAAAAAUCACCACACCAUAUGCUAUGAUAGCUGAAAGGCACAAUCCAAUCUUCUGUUCAGUUGCAGAGCAUACAGUCCAUUACGAGAAUGCAGGAAAGGGACAAACAAAAGGCUGACAACUAUUGGUAUCCUUUAUCAGCAUCAGCACCAGUUUGCUACAACAUGUUUACAUGCAAGGGUUACUCAGAGCAGGUAAUCUUGUCAUCACUGAUCCUACCCUGUUUGUUUGUUUGUUUGUUUGUGGGUGCCUUAGAGUCUGUUGACUCCUGGUGACUACACAGACAAGUCCUUGCAGUUUUCUAUGUGUUUUCAAAAGUAGUUUGCCAUUGCCUUCUUCCAAGGGCUGAGGGAAAAUGACUGGUCUAAGGUCAUCCAGCUGAUUACAUACCUAAUGCAGGACUAAAACUCAAGUUUUCUCUCUCUUACCCCAGUGUCUUAAUCACUAGACCAAACUGGAUCUCAACUCUGCCAUCAAAGAGAAUGAAAUGUCUAUCAGGGACAAUUUAUUUGGGAUAUCAUAAAAAGGGAGCAAGUUUGUUAGUAAUUUAAUUUACUACUGUUUUAUUUUUAUUGCCAGGAUGAAAAGAGGCAAAUGUAAUUUUUUCUGAUUUAACUGCCUUUGAAUGACCCUACAACUUGACUUGAUAUCAUGAUGCCAGCUGAUAUCCCCUUCUGGUAGCAAAAUGUUUUUGGCUUAGCCCUACGUGUUGUGUAAGACGCCAUUUGUACUGUCUAGAUUAAGCCUCCACUUGUAACGUAACAGCUACAGCAGACACAUGCUGGUGGGUGGUAGGGUUGAAGGUUAGUUCCUUUUUGGCUGUCAAAGCUUCUUAUAAUGGCACUAAAAUAUUUACCUGGGCAUUUUCUUAUAUGCACUUGAUAGAAAUGUUUCCAUUUCUUUUUAAUUUGCAUGUGCAGGUUUUUCAUUUAUUUUUUAAUCAUUUGCUCAUUUAUGUCUAUUGCGGAUGUUAAAAUGUAGGAUUUUAUGGCAGGCUUUAAGAUCCAGCACGAGAAAACUGCAUAGUAAAGUAGUACGGAAAAUAUGUGCUGGGGAAUGACAGGAAAAAGGAAUAUGGAGCAGAAUGAGCUUGCAUGAGUCAAAAACCAGCCAACUAAUCAACACAUUUUCUCUUUAACAAAAGACAAUUAAGAAUUAUUAAGAAUCUUUUAGAUUUCCUAGCCAAGAUUCCCAAUAAGGGCUAAGGUUAAUUAUUUAACAGAAAACAAAAAUAUAAAAUCCUGCAAUAAUAAUCCCUUGAUUUUCAUUAGUAUUUGUUUUUCUAAUUUAGUUGCCUAAUGCAGUUUUUAAACUGGCUUUUAAAAUAGAGGAUCACGCAGCAGACUGCCGUAUGGGAAGGAACAGUAUAAUUAAUUUAAUUUCCUCUUAAGUUUCAUGUGGAUUGAACAUUUAUUUUUCUAUACAGUUUUGUGGCAUCUGACUAGAUAUUACACAGUGAGAUUCUGUAAAGUGAAGCAAAUUCAGGUUGUGCAUAUACAGUACAUGCUUAUCAGAUGUUGUUAUUCUAAUACAACUCUAUCAACAGGUUGUAAGCAACAGUAGUCCUAAUGAAGGCACAUGUUUAUCUGAUUUCAGUCAUCUGUCAAAUGGAAUUAAGAAACAUCUUUUGUUCAUGUAAGGGAGUGCAGGGAAACUUGUCUGAUUUAUUCAGUGCUCAGACCCACAGAAUCGGGCCUUUGUUCUCUCUUACACACUCAUACUCAUAGAGACACCAGGAAUAUUUGGCAACAUUUUAUUUCAGGGCUUCAUUUGUUCAAUUUACAAGCUAUUGACUACAAUACUGAGGAACAAAAGGUAAUGUAGGAAUUCAUAUAUGAACAUGGUAGAAGUAAGAAUCUAACUUUAGUUAAAUUUCCUCUUUACCUCAGCUGCCUUUCCUUUUUUUCCCUCUCUACUUGCAUUUUUCCCCCGUGCUUUGCAUGAUGCAUAAUGCUGUUUACUCUGAAAGAGGACAGCAUGAUGUGUGAAUAUGUAUCAACAAAUGGCUGAGAUGGAAUCAUUAUGGACUUUUGCCAUGCAGUCCAAAAGCCAAAGGGCAAGCAAAAUGUUGAGAUGUUGUUGUUUUUCUGCAUCUUGUGAUGGCCAGGGACCACAAUCAACACUUUUGGGAAAGUGAAGGCUGUACUGGGCAGGGCAGGGAUUAAAAAAAAAAAAAAAGGUUACGCCUAGUUCAGUGCUUACAUUACAGUUUUUAAAUAUCUCCUGCAGAUUUUCACAACUGUAAUCAGAGGGUUCACCAGAAAGAGACUCUGAGGUCAUACAUGGCCUCAUAGACUGAUCUGUCAAGAUGAAGCUUUCAAAUACAUCACAGUGGUUAUAUGAUGUUCAAGUAGUUUCUAAUCUAUCUGUGUAGCAUAUAUUAUAUAUCAAAGUGUGUGUGUGUGUGUGUGUGUGUGUAUGCAUACAUAUACAUACAUACACAUACAUGCUUGCUUCUUCAAAGCAGUGGAACAAAGCAUGCAGUUCCUCUGCUCUAAUACCAAAACCUUUUUAUCUGAUGGGGAAAUCCCUGCAAAAUAUAAAAUAGCCUGCAAAAUUUAAAAAAAAAAAGACAGAUUAAUAAAAUGAUACAUGUGGCUGAUUCAGAGCUUAUUUUCAGUAUCAGUGCAUUCCAAACACUGCUAGAUAAAGAGAUGGUGCAUGUAAAAUAGUCCCUUUAAAAAUGAAUAAAUGGUUUUUAAAAUUUUAAUUCAUUGUCAGUGCUAUUGAAUGUAUUCAAUUAACUUGUUAUGUAAACAUAUCAUAAUCAGGUGCACUAAAUUAUACUCAAGAGCACAGAAGAAUGUGCAUAUCAAAAGAUGAAACAAAGCUGAUGACUGCCAUUUCAUAAAAAACAGGGAAACCAUUUCUUGGCUGCAAAAUUCCAACAAUGGCAGAAAACACAAAAAUCUGGAUUUCUGCAGCCAAGACAAGUGAACAUGAUUUUUAAAUAUAUCAGUUUUUCCAUACUUUCCAUACAUUUACGACAGUGUUGGAUAUCUUACUGCCCAGCUGGGUAACAUGAGAAUUUGGAAUAGAGCCAAAGAACAAGAAGCAUUUAUCUCUGAAUCUAUAUAGUGUUAUAAUUACAAGGAUUUAUAGCCAUUCUUACUUUUCCAGCAUGCCCAAGAGAUUGUACAAAGUAAAUAAGAUUUUCAGGUUUAUUUUCACUUUGGGAUAAGUAUAAAAACACCUAUUUCCUGGGCAAGAAAGACCCCGCAAUUGUAGAAAAGGGUCUUUGGAUCCAAUGUUUCUUUUGCAAAUUAACCAAACUCCAUGGAGUCCUUGGGCUACACAUAUUCGCCUCUGUUGGUGACCAAACUCCAGUGUUUCCUUGCAGACUUUAUUUUGUUCACGUGACACAUAGAACUGCAAACUGGCCAACCAUACUUUAGUUUAGCAUGUUGUACAACCACAGGCUGUAUCACUAGUUUAUGGUUCAGUGUAUUGUGCCCUGGAUCAAUUAGGUAAACUAUGGCUAAAUUAACCAUACGUAAGCA